CAGUAGCCGCGGGAAUACAGAGGGUGCGAGCGUUAAUCGGAUUUACUGGGCGUAAAGCGUGCGUAGGCGGCUUCUUAAGUCGGAUGUGAAAUCCCUGAGCUUAACUUAGGAAUUGCAUUCGAUACUGGGAAGCUAGAGUAUGGGAGAGGAUGGUAGAAUUCCAGGUGUAGCGGUGAAAUGCGUAGAGAUCUGGAGGAAUACCGAUGGCGAAGGCAGCCAUCUGGCAUAAUACUGACGCUGAGGUACGAAAGCAUGGGGAGCAAACAGGAUUAGAUACCCCUGUAGUCCCUGUCUCUUAUAC
rnacentral:rRNA from 1 species